rnacentral:rRNA from 1 species
UGAGUAACCUGCCCUUAACUCUGGGAUAAGCCUGGGAAACUGGGUCUAAUACCGGAUAUGACUCCUCAUCGCAUGGUGGGGGGUGGAAAGCUUUAUUGUGGUUUUGGAUGGACUCGCGGCCUAUCAGCUUGUUGGUAAGGUAAUGGCUUACCAAGGCGACGAUCAGUAGCCGACCUGAGGAGGGUGAUCGGCCACAUUGGAACUGAGACACGGUCCAAACUCCGUACGGGAGCAG